CAGUCGCCACGGUAAAACAGAGGGUGCAAGCGUUAAUCGGAAUUACUGGGCGUAAAGCGCGCGUAGGUGGUUUGUUAAGUUGGAUGUGAAAUCCCCGGGCUCAACCUGGGAACUGCAUCCAAAACUGGCAAGCUAGAGUAUGGUAGAGGGUGGUGGAAUUUCCUGUGUAGCGGUGAAAUGCGUAGAUAUAGGAAGGAACACCAGUGGCGAAGGCGACCACCUGGACUGAUACUGACACUGAGGUGCGAAAGCGUGGGGAGCAAACAGGAUUAGAUACCCGCGUAGUCCCUGUCUCUUAUAC
rnacentral:rRNA from 1 species